rnacentral:rRNA from 1 species
UGGGGAAUAUUACACAAUGGGCGCAAGCCUGAUGCAGCAACGCCGCGUGAACGAUGAAGGUCUUCGGAUCGUAAAGUUCUGUUGCAGGGGAAGAUAAUGACGGUACCCUGUGAGGAAGCCCCGGCUAACUACGUGCCAGCAGCCGCGGUAAUACGUAGGGGGCUAGCGUUAUCCGGAUUUACUGGGCGUAAAGGGUGCGUAGGUGGUCUUUCAAGUCGGUGGUUAAAGGCUACGGCUCAACCGUAGUUAGCCUCCGAAACUGGAAGACUUGAGUGCAGGAGAGGAAAGUGGAAUUCCCAGUGUAGCGGUGAAAUGCGUAGAUAUUGGGAGGAACACCAGUAGCGAAGGCGGCUUUCUGGACUGCAACUGACACUGAGGCACGAAAGCGUGGGUAGCAAACAGG